AAGGCAGCCAGUAAAUCUGCUUAUCUGAAUGUGUUUCUGCAGAAGUUUGGAAAGAGCUGGCAAUAGCGAUGUCAUUUGAUGAGCUUAAGGACAGCAGGUCAUCACCAUCCUUGAAAAUGGCUGCAAAA
rnacentral:snoRNA from 1 species